CUCCUUUCCAGUAGCCGCGACCCCCUGCCGCCAGCGUGACACACAAGUCUUUAAAAGGCUCUCUGCUCAGGGGAGAGAACUUUCUGACUCCAAGUUCACUGACGUCAAGCCUCCUGAUUUUGGCACUUGCGUUAAUGGAAACUUUAAUUCUUGGAAGUUCCACGUAUUUUCCAAGACUCGAGCCGAAAGUGUAUGGAGCAUAAACAAUGUAUUCAUUUAAUUAGCCAAAGACCUAAAAUUAGUCUUUAAUGAAGGCAAAUUAAGAACUUUUUUUUUCUCCUUGUGGUUAGAUCUCCUUAACCCCUGUAAGCCCAGGAUCCUAGUUUGUUAGUGGUAGUCCUCCUUUCUACUGUCAUUAAUUUUUGCAGUAAUUUAUGUAGUAUAAUAGUUUUACAAGUCUAUGAAGAAUCAGUUUGUAUAGUCAAUUCCCGCCAUUGUUCUAUUUUACCUUUGACUUUGUACACAUUAUUAUUCAUUAUUUUAGCCUGGGGAACAUUUACUGAACACCUUUGUAAGCUUUUUUUAGGUUUAUGUGUCUAGAGAUAUAUAAAUAUAUGUCAUAGUUGUUGCUUUUAAGAGGCAGACAGUUGUAGUAAGAGAGAUAUUCUCUAAUACAAGCAGGGAUGUGAUUAGAAUAGGAAAGGAAAUUUUAAAAUGUCAUGGGAAUUCAAAUGAGAGAUAUUUAAGAGUAGGAG
rnacentral:lncRNA from 10 species